CUCAAAGAGUUGAUUCUGGCUCAGGAUGAACGCUGGCGGCAGGCUUAAUACAUGCAAGUCGAACGGUAAGGCCGAGUGCAGCAAUGCAUGAGGUACACGAGUGGCGCACGGGUGCGUAACGCGUAUGCAACCUGCCCCCCAACCGGGACAAAACAGCUGGAAACGGCUGCUAAUAUCCCAUGGCCACUUGGGAGGGCAUCCUCCUGAGUGUAAAGAUUCAUUGGUUGGGGAUGGGCAUGCGUAUUAUUAGGUAGUUGGCGGGGUAACGGCCCACCAAGCCGACGAUGAUUAGGGGUCCUGAGAGGGUUAACCCCCACACUGGAACUGAGACACGGUCCAGACUCCUACGGGAGGCAGCAGUAGGGAAUAUUGGGCAAUGGGAGCAAUCCUGACCCAGCCAUGCCCGCGUGAAGGAAGACGGCCCUAUGGGUUGUAAACUUCUUUUGCCGCAGAGUAAACCUGGGGACGUGUCCCCAGUUGAGAGUAUGCGGCGAAUAAGUAUCGGCUAACUCCGUGCCAGCCGCGGC
rnacentral:rRNA from 1 species